GGAAGGUUCCGUGUGUUGGUUAACGGGUUGAGCUGUAAACUCAAUAGUAUUUUGCUAUCGGAGGUUCGAACCCUCUCCUUCCUA
rnacentral:tRNA from 1 species